UAUGAAAGUUAAUAAUGCAUGUGGUGGAUGCCUUGGGUAUUCAUGCUGAUGAAGGAAGUGCAAGACUGCUUUAAGCUUCGAGGAGCUGUCAAGAAGCGCUAUUACUCGGAGAUUUCCGAAUGGGGAAACCCGAUCCGUUGCAAAACGAGAUCACCAUUCACUGAAAAUUUCACCGAAAGGUGGAUUAAUAGGUGUUUAGGAAGGUACUCGGCGAACUGAAACAACAUAGUAGCCGGAGGAAAAAAGACAAUAUUGUUAUUCCCUUAGUAGCGGCGAGCGAAAAGGGACUAGCCCAAACCCAAAUUGUUCUUAGAUGAGAGUAGUUUGAUUUAUCAGACUAUUUUUCAUCUUCGAACAAGAAAAUUGGGGGUAUGGAAAACCCGCUUCCGUCUUUAGGGACGGAAAAGAGUUACAAAUUACUUUUGUAGAAAAAGACGCCUGGAAAGGCGCGCCAUAGAGAGUAAGAGCCUCGUAUUCGAAACAAAAGUAACUCUUUGGGUUUAUCCUGAGUAGCACGGGACACGUGAAACCCUGUGUGAAUAUACGAUGUCCACAUCGUAAGGCUAAAUACAUGAAUACACCGAUAGCGAAUAGUACCGUGAGGGAAAGGUGAAAAGAACCCCUGUUAGGGGAGUGAAAUAGAUCCUGAAACCGCAUGCAGACAAGCUUGUAAAGCCAACCUUUAAGGUUGGUGAUACAGUGCUUAUUGAAGAAUGAUCCAGCGAGUUGAUACUGUGGGCAAGCUUAAUCUGUGAAAGCAGAGGAGGCGUAGGGAAACCAAGUCUUAAUAGGGCGAAUAGUCCGCAGCAUCAGACCCGAAGCCAAGUGGGCCAGCCAUGACCAGAGUGAAGUCCAUCGAGAGAUGGAUGGAGGCUCGAACCGGUGUACGAGGAAAAGUGCUCGGAUGAGUUGUGGUUAGUGACUAAACGUUUAUCAAACUUGGCGAUAGCUGGUUCUCCCCGAAACAUGUUUUGGCAUGACCUUCGUGUUUUAUUCCGUGAGGUAGAGAUACUGGAAGGGGAUGGGGGGCGUAAGUCUACCCACUCCUAUCAAACUCCGAAUGCGCGGAUGAUUGACACGGGGAGUCAGUACUACGGGGAAAUCUCGUGGUACGAAAGGGCGACAACCCAGACCAUCGAUUAAGGUCCCUAAUUUUUACUAAGUGGGCAAGGAAGUGAAACCGUUAAGACAGCUAGGAGGUUGGCUCAGAAGCAGCAAUCCUUUAAAGAAAGCGUAACAGCUCACUAGUUAAACGGUUUUGCGCCGACGAUUUAACGGGGCUAAAGUAAAAAACCGAAGUCGUGGCUUUGUACUUUAUUGUACAAGGGGUAGGGGAGCUUUGAUGCAGCUGUGAAGCUACACCGUGAGAUGUGGUGGAGCGGCAUCAAGUGAGUAUGCUGGAAUGAGUAACGAGAUCCGUGUGAAAACCACGGACGCCGAAAGUCUAAGGUUUCCUCCGCCAUGCCAGUCAGCGGAGGGUUAGUCGAUCCUAAGGAGAGGCCGAAGGGCGUAUCCGAUGGACAGCAGGUUAAUAUUCCUGCACUGAUGUAGAGUCGUUAUUACCAAUGGAGGGACGGAGCAUGAUGGACCAGGCCUGAAAAGGAUUUGGGUUCCAAAAGCAAGUUAGUCUGCGUAGGCAAAUCCGCGCGGGCGUUUUUACAUGAGCUUAGGAAUAGUUCACCGCAAGGUGGGCAAUUUGGUUCACGCAAGCUUCCAGGAAAAUCUUCUAGGGAGACUUUACAUUAUUCGUACCGCAAACCGACACAGGUAGAUGGGUAGAAGAUACCAAGGCGAACGAGAGAAUGGUGGUUGAGGAACUAGGCAAAUUACAUCCGUAACUUCGGGAAAAGGAUGCCCUGCGCCGAAAGGUUGUAGGGGACACAAAAAUGGCUCAGGCGGCUGUUUAACAAAAACACAGGCUUCUGCUAAACCAGUAAUGGGAGGUAUAGGGGCCGACGCGUGCCCAGUGUCCGUAAGUUAAGACCGGGGGUGACCAACCGCAAGGUUGGAGGCUUCUGGUUCAAGCUCGGAUGAACGGCAGCAGUAACUAUAACUGUAGUAGUAGGGCAGUUAUGAAGGUUUUGUGCAAACCUUCCGUUGAUUAGAAUUUAGAAUUUAAAUUCUUUUCAAUGAAAAUUUGGCCAUAUGCUGGGACGCCCGUCCACACUUUUUACCAAAGAUGUGGUCACUCUCUACACAAAGUAGAGAAAAGUAUCUUGAGCUACUUUCCAUUUUCGGUAGUAUUCGAUCAUGGAUAGUGAAAAUGCUUCAAGUGCGGGUAAUCAGCAGGAAAGAGUUCCAAAGAACAAGGAUAGUCUGAAAUAUUAUUUAGCGGGAUUUGCUGACAGCGAGGGAAGUUUCAAUGUAAAUGUUUGCAAAAACAAAUACUCUUACUUCGGCUGGAAGCUUGACCCGUUGUUUCAGAUUUAUCAAUCGAAAGAAAAUGACAAGAUGCUUCACAUUUUCAGAGAUGUUUUAGGGUGUGGUUACAUCCGUAAAAGCGAGAAUGAUUCUUCCGGAUAUGUUUAUUGUGUAAAUAGUAUCAACAAUCUGGUUUCGAAUGUUAUUCCGUUUUUUGAAGAACAUCCUCUUAUUGGCAGUAAGUACAAAGACUUCUCCUUAUUCAAGGAGAUAGUUUAUGCACUAGCUAAUAAGGAACAGCUCAACUUUAACGGCUUUUCUAGGUUAACUAGACUCGCCUGCAAAAUGAGCAAAUGUGGUAAAAACAAAAAGUAUCUUUUAGGUUAUGUUCUUAGAUCUUUGGAUCAAUCCUCAGAGACUAAACGCCAAACCCACAUUAGAUAGUGGGAUGAUAUAGUCCGAUCUUCGUGGCGACACGAAGGAUCCUCGAAUAUUAAGAGAGUUCGAGGUGAUAACGAAAAUUGUCUAUGGUAGCGUAAUCCCUUGCCGGGUAAGCGAUGAGCAAGCCCGUACCGGCUUAUAACGGGAAAGCCUGAAAACUUUAUUAUAGGGAUAUAAAGGGCAAGUUUUCAUGGUGAUUCCGUGGGAAGUUUCUAUUAGUUCUAUUAUUAAUAGAUAACCCCCGAUCGACUGAUUGUUCCUUGUACACUAGUAUGAUGAACAUGAGAUGUGGUAUUUAUUUACAAGAUAACGUUGUAAAGCUACAUCACACGCCGGUGUUUCUCAACUCUGAGAAACAAAGAUAUAGUCAGCGCCACUAGCGAUAGUGGAAUAACGUGAAGUUCCGGCCCGCACGAAACGCGUAACGAUCUGAGCGCUCUCUUAACCACUAACUCGGUGAAAUUGAACUACCGGUGAAGAUGCCGGUUACUCAUUGUUGGACAGAAAGACCCCGUGGAGCUUUACUGUAGCUUGGUAUUGGCAAUCGGUUUUAGUUGUGUAGUGUAGGAGGGAGUUUUGAACCUAACCGUUUAAAACGUCAAUGAAACACCUCUCUACUAUUUCUGAGAGCCUUACCGUCUCGCAUAACCUGCGAGAGGGACAAUGCCAGGCGGGCAGUUUAUCUGGGGCGGAUUCCUGCUAAAAAGUAACGCAGGAGCUCAAAGGUUCCCUUAAUGCCGAUGGAAAUGGCAUUGUAAGCGUAAAGGUAUAUGGGAGCUUGACUGCAAGACUUACAAGUCGAGCAGAUACGAAAGUAGGACUUAGUGAUCUUCCGAGUGCUUAGUGGUAGGCCCGGAACUUAUCGGAUAAAAGUUACCCCGGGGAUAACAGGCUUAUCUUACCCGAGCGUCCAUAGCGGCGGUAAGGUUUGGCACCUUAGACAUAAAUCAGGGGUGCUGCGAAAGUAAUUUCGUACCAAAAAUUCGGCUAAUAACGGUGAACGCCUAACGAUUCAUGAGAAAUGAAACGAAGGGGAAUACCGUGGGAAGUUCGUGUUGAAGCGAACCCCGUAUCGACUGAUCCUUAAGAAUGGUCAAAACCAUUCAAAAGGUGAGAUAGAGUGCUUAAUCUCUAUCACACGCCGACUCCUACUCUUUAAAAAUUAGUUUUUAAAGACAAGAGGAAAGAAGAUAUAGUCAAUGCAACUAGAAAUAGUUGAUUCAUCAUGCGAUGUCGUCUCGUCUUAUCCUGGAGCUGGAGCAGGUUCCAAGGGUCCGGCUGUUCGCCGGUUAAAAAGGCGCGUUAGAUGGGUUCAGAACGUCGUAAGACAGUUCGGUCCAUUUCCACAAUGAGUGUAGAAUCCUGAGAGGGCUCAUUCCUAGUAAGAACUUAAUUGCUACUUCUAGGGGAAACCCCAGUUGAAAAUGCGGCUAAUAACGGUGGAGUCUUGGCGGUUUGUACGUCACUAUCGCGGUCUCAAGGUGACGUGCAUGGUAUAAAAGUAUAUUUACUUGAGGACCAGAAACUCCUAAGAUAAUACCGUGGGAAGUCGAUCUAAAGAAAACCGAAACAGAGUUACUAAAAUCUUUAGGUUUGACCCCGUAACGACUUUUCUACUUUUGUAGAAGGACUCAUUUCAUACUUUUGUAUGGAUGGGUAAUACGCCGACACCGCAGCAUUAUUCGAGAGAAUAGAUGGCGGUGAAGAUAUAGUCUAUCCUCCUAGUGAUAGGAGAUUUGAUGACGAGAGGACCGGAAUGACCUAACCUCUGGUGUGCCAGUUGUUCCGCCAGGAGCAUUGCUGGGUAGCUAUGUUGGGACUUGAUAAGUGCUGAAAGCAUAUAAGCACGAAGCAUACCUCAAAAUUAGGAUUCACUCCAAUUUAUUUGGACGCGGCUCCUGGGAGAAUACCAGGUUGAUAGGCUGUGGGUGUAAGCACAGUAAUGUGUUCAGCCGAACAGUACUAAUGCUAGCGCACUUUAUAUU
rnacentral:rRNA from 1 species